rnacentral:rRNA from 1 species
CCAACAACCCAUUCGGCCGAGGAGUACCAGGACAAGCUAGAAACUCAAAAGACUUGACGGUGCUCUACCCUACCUAGAGGAGCCUGUCCUAUAAUCGAUACCCCACGAUCUACCCAACCCCUACUAGCACAUCAGCCUAUAUACCGCCGUCGAAAGUAUAUCCUGCAAAGGAUCCACAAUUAUCUCAAUAGCCCACCACUAAAACGUCAGGNCAAGGGAUAGGUAUUGUUGAGGGAGAGAUGGGCUACAUUUUCUNNAUGCAGAACAAACGAAAAAUNACAUGAAUNUUGNCAUUNNAAGGCGGNUUUA